rnacentral:tRNA from 2 species
GGGCCGUUGGUCUAGCCUGGUCUAUGACGCGAUCCUGUCACGAUCGAAAUCGCGGGUUCAAAUCCCGCACGGCCCG